rnacentral:miRNA from 1 species
CGUUCGAUGCUCUGAUUGGUC